UACAGAGGUGCCAAGCGUUAGGCGGAAUCACUGGGCUUAAAGCACGUGUAGGUGGGUCGUUAAGUGUCCGCGUGAAAUCCCACGGCUCAACCGUGGAACUGCCGGGCAUACUGGCGAUCUUGAGGCAUUCAGGGGCGAGCAGAACAAGUGGUGGAGCGGUGAAAUGCGUAGAUAUCACUUGGAACGCCAAUGGUGAAAACAGCUCGCUGGGAAUGAUCUGACACUGAGACGCGAAAGCCAGGGGAGCGAACGGG
rnacentral:rRNA from 1 species